UACGGGGGGGGCAAGCGUUGUUCGGAAUUACUGGGCGUAAAGGGCUCGUAGGUGGCCAACUAAGUCAGACGUGAAAUCCCUCGGCUUAACCGGGGAACUGCGUCUGAUACUGGAUGGCUUGAGUUUGGGAGAGGGACGCGGAAUUCCGAGGUGUAGUGGUGAAAUGCGUAGAUAUCUGGAGGAACACCGGUGGCGAAGGCGGCGUCCUGGACCAAUACUGACACUGAACAGCGAAAGCCAGGGGAGCAAACGGG
rnacentral:rRNA from 1 species